AGAAUUGUCUCCAGUGCAAAUGAUGUUUUGUCAUCCCACUCCCUGAGCACACUCCAGUGUAGCAGGUCUACAUGUUCUGUCAAGAGACUGGAUUCUGAGAGUGAGAACCUGUGAAGUGUCCAUCAAAGCUGAAGAGAAGAAUUGGGUUCAGCAACUGUCCAGAGUUGGUGGAUGUCCAAGCCGGAGUAAAAAUGUCAUGAACAGGGUGGCGGUUUUGGUGUACUGCUCCUUUAAGGCUAGUCCUCCCCGCCUACCGUUUCUACAUGCCUUUCUGCGUGCCUUAAUCUCCUCCCUCGGCUGCAUCAGACAACAGACAGACUUAAAGGAAGCAGAUCUCACGUAGCGUUUGUGAGAUAUACUACAAUGCUGUGAAGUGAUGAGGUCCAGAUGCUACAGACUCCGAAAAAGAUGCAGCAAUGGAGGAACAUAGCAAGCACUUUCCAGGAGAAGCUGGAGAAUAUUGGAAAAAAGACUCAAAAAUAAAAUUUCAGC